UUAAGCCAGGAGACCACAAAGCUAAAUAUUACUUUGAGGUCAGAGCUGUACUGAACAAAACUUUGUAAUCACCUAUAUGUCUAUCAAUGUCCACUAGAUGUCCUUUGUUUAUGUUGUAGAACCAUUGCUGGUCUAUACAUUAUAAAUCCCAAGUUUUCCUCUUGUCUUGAACAUCAAUAUAUUGUGUGACUUUGGGCAAGGCACUAAACCUUAGGAGGUGUGUGGGUGAGCAAGAUGAGUAAUAUGGGUACUGUGAGGCAUGAGAAGUAUUACAAGAGUUCAUGGGAGGCUGAAUUCAAUCCAGGAUAACAAGUCUGUAGGGUGAACUGGAGGUGAGAGAGGUGAUACACAGAAGUAGAUUUUGGAAUAAGUCAAAGACGGGAUUGAUUGACUCACUGAUUCACUUCUGGCCCCAUCUCCUGGAACCACAAAACAAGUGUUAACCCCAUGGAAUAGCUUGAGGCAGAAAAAAAGUGUCUUUAGUAGGAUUAUACUGGGAACUUACUAAGUAUAUGGGAAUGGGAAGAUAGUCAAGAGCAGUAAUUACAAAAAGAAUAGUCAUAAGGACAAAGUGAUGUAUUAAAAAGUGAUUAAAACAGA
rnacentral:lncRNA from 1 species